rnacentral:ncRNA from 1 species
GAACGCCUGGGGAGGUGCGGCAGUCGAUCAUCGUAUGCUGCCGUGCUCGCUUCUUGGCGUUC